AACGAACGCUGGCGGCAGGCUUAACACAUGCAAGUCGAGCGCUGUAGCAAUACAGAGCGGCAGACGGGUGAGUAACGCGUGGGAAUCUACCCAACUCUACGGAAUAACUCAGGGAAACUUGUGCUAAUACCGUAUACGCCCUUCGGGGGAAAGAUUUAUCGGAGUUGGAUGAGCCCGCGUUGGAUUAGCUAGUUGGUGGG
rnacentral:rRNA from 1 species